AACGCUAGCUACAGGCUUAACACAUGCAAGUCGUGGGGCAUCAGGAAGAAAGCUUGCUUUCUUUGCUGGCGACCGGCGCACGGGUGAGUAACACGUAUCCAACCUGCCCUUUACUCGGGGAUAGCCUUUCGAAAGAAAGAUUAAUACCCGAUAGCAUAAUGAUUCCGCAUGGUUUCAUUAUUAAAGGAUUCCGGUAAAGGAUGGGGAUGCGUUCCAUUAGGUUGUUGGUGAGGUAACGGCCCACCAAGCCUUCGAUGGAUAGGGGUUCUGAGAGGAAGGUCCCCCACAUUGGAACUGAGACACGGUCCAAACUCCUACGGGAGGCAGCAGUGAGGAAUAUUGGUCAAUGGGCGCUAGCCUGAACCAGCCAAGUAGCGUGAAGGAUGAAGGCUCUAUGGGUCGUAAACUUCUUUUAUAUAAGAAUAAAGUGCAGUAUGCAUACUGUUUUGUAUGUAUUAUAUGAAUAAGGAUCGGCUAACUCCGUGCCAGCAGCCGCGGUAAUACGGAGGAUCCGAGCGUUAUCCGGAUUUAUUGGGUUUAAAGGGAGCGUAGGUGGAUUGUUAAGUCAGUUGUGAAAGUUUGCGGCUCAACCGUAAAAUUGCAGUUGAUACUGUCAGUCUUGAGUACAGUAGAGGUGGGCGGAAUUCGUGGUGUAGCGGUGAAAUGCUUAGAUAUCACGAAGAACUCCGAUUGCGAAGGCAGCUCACUGGACUGCAACUGACACUGAUGCUCGAAAGUGUGGGUAUCAAACAGGAUUAGAUACCCUGGUAGUCCACACAGUAAACGAUGAAUACUCGCUGUUUGCGAUAUACAGUAAGCGGCCAAGCGAAAGCAUUAAGUAUUCCACCUGGGGAGUACGCCGGCAACGGUGAAACUCAAAGGAAUUGACGGGGGCCCGCACAAGCGGAGGAACAUGUGGUUUAAUUCGAUGAUACGCGAGGAACCUUACCCGGGCUUAAAUUGCAGUGGAAUGAUGUGGAAACAUGUCAGUGAGCAAUCACCGCUGUGAAGGUGCUGCAUGGUUGUCGUCAGCUCGUGCCGUGAGGUGUCGGCUUAAGUGCCAUAACGAGCGCAACCCUUAUCUUUAGUUACUAACAGGUUAUGCUGAGGACUCUGGAGAGACUGCCGUCGUAAGAUGUGAGGAAGGUGGGGAUGACGUCAAAUCAGCACGGCCCUUACGUCCGGGGCUACACACGUGUUACAAUGGGGGGUACAGAAGGCAGCUAGCGGGUGACCGUAUGCUAAUCCCAAAAGCCUCUCUCAGUUCGGAUCGAAGUCUGCAACCCGACUUCGUGAAGCUGGAUUCGCUAGUAAUCGCGCAUCAGCCACGGCGCGGUGAAUACGUUCCCGGGCCUUGUACACACCGCCCGUCAAGCCAUGGGAGCCGGGGGUACCCGAAGUACGUAACCGCAAGGAUCGUCCUAGGGUAAAACUGGUGACUGGGG
rnacentral:rRNA from 1 species